UACGGAGGAGGCAAGCGUUAUCCGGAAUUACUGGGCGUAAAGAGUUGCGUAGGUGGCACUGUAAGUCGGUAGUGAAAGCGUGGGGCUCAACCUCAUAUCCAUUAUCGAAACUGCAGAGCUAGAGGACGAGAGAGGUCACUGGAAUUCCCUGUGUAGGAGUGAAAUCCGUAGAUAUAGGGAGGAACACCGAUGGCGUAGGCAGGUGACUGGCUCGUUCCUGACACUAAGGCACGAAAGCGUGGGGAGCAAACGGG
rnacentral:rRNA from 1 species